rnacentral:lncRNA from 1 species
UGUUUUAGACAGGAUCUCACUCAAUUGCUGGGGCUGUUCUCAAACUUGCGAUGCCUCCGCCUCCUGAGUUGCUGGGAUCACCAGCACGCACCACCACGUCUGGCUACAGUAACGCUUAUUUUUAAAAAAAUAUUGUGCUGCUCCUACAGAUGAAAAUCCAGCAUGGACUUUGUGGGGCCGUUAGAAAUCAAGAGUUCUGCAAACUUCUUCUGAACACUCUCUCCAAUGAAGGUCUGAAUCCUGACGAGCUCUUGCUUGAUUAGAACAGGAGAGAUCCAUUCCCCAAAAAUGUAAGCAUAGGAUCACCAUAUGACCCAGAAAUUCCACUUCUAAGUAUGUAGCCCAUAGAAUUGAAAUAGACGUUCAGACACAUUCUUGCACACUGACAUUCAUGGGGGCACAAUCCUUAAUUGCCAAAAGAUAGUAACAACCCAAAUGUCCAUCAGGGGAUAGACAGAUGAACAGAACGUGGUUUCCAUGGAAUAUAAUUCAGCCAUGAAAAGGUGAGAGGCACGACUCAUGCUGUGGCAUGGAUGAACCCAAGGCAUGUGGUGACAGAGACCUGGCACCCAGGUCACACAUACAAUUCCUGUGACAUGUACUCUAUGAAACGUCCAGAGUAGGAAAAUCCAGAGACGAAGGUGAGCUUGGACCACCAGGCCCUGGAGGAUGGGGUGUCUCAGCCCCAGUGAGCGGUGACAGCCGCACAGUGCUGUGGUUACACCUGCAGGAGAGUACACCCGAAAACGAUUCGUGGAGGAUUUUAUGUUGAGAGAAUUUUAUCUCAAUUUCUUUUUAGAAGGGAGAUUUCCAAUAUCAGAAAGAUAUUGAAGACAUACCUUGGCCAAACGAGAUCUUCUCCUUAAUGGAAUAAAAAGGAAUGGAGAAAACUGCGUUUUUCCUUCUGAUUCCCAGACCCUUUUGCC